AUGCACGCUGGCGGCGUGCCUAAUCCCUGCCAGUCGAGCGAACGGACGAGAAGCUUGCUUCUCUGAUGUUAGCGGCGGACGGGUGAGUAACACGUGGAUAACCUACCUAUAAGACUGGGAUAACUUCGGGAAACCGGAGCUAAUACCGGAUAAUAUUUUGAACCGCAUGGUUCAAAAGUGAAAGACGGUCCUGCUGUCACUUAUAGAUGGAUCCGCGCUGCAUUAGCUAGUUGGUAAGGUAACGGCUUACCAAGGCAACGAUGCAUAGCCGACCUGAGAGGGUGAUCGGCCACACUGGAACUGAGACACGGUCCAGACUCCUACGGGAGGCAGCAGUAGGGAAUCUUCCGCAAUGGGCGAAAGCCUGACGGAGCAACGCCGCGUGAGUGAUGAAGGUCUUCGGAUCGUAAAACUCUGUUAUUAGGGAAGAACAUAUGUGUAAGUAACUGUGCACAUCUUGACGGUACCUAAUCAGAAAGCCACGGCUAACUACGUG
rnacentral:rRNA from 1 species